rnacentral:rRNA from 1 species
UACGUAGGGGGCUAGCGUUGUUCGGAUUUACUGGGCGUAAAGGGCGCGUAGGCGGCAAUUCAAGUCAGCUGUGAAAUCUCCGAGCUUAACUCGGAAAGGUCAACUGAUACUGUGCGGCUAGAGUGCGGAAGGGGCAACUGGAAUUCUUGGUGUAGCGGUGAAAUGCGUAGAUAUUAAGAGGAACACCUGCGGCGAAGGCGGGUUGCUGGGCCGACACUGACGCUGAUGCGCGAAAGCCAGGGGAGCGAACGGG